GGAGAAGUACUCAAGUGGUGACGAGGUUCCUCUGCUAAGGGAAUAGGUCGGGAAACCGGCGCGAGAGUUCAAAUCUCUCCUUCUCCGCCA
rnacentral:tRNA from 1 species